ensembl:snRNA U6 U6 spliceosomal RNA
UUGCUUCAGCAGCACAUAUAACAAAAUCAGAAAGAUACAGAGAAGAUUAGCAUGACCCUGAGCAAGGGUGACACACAAACUCAUGAAACAUUCCCCCCAAGU